rnacentral:lncRNA from 1 species
AAGGAUUUCAAACUAGAACAAGCAACACAUUAUACAUAAGUCUUGUUUUAUAAUACAAAGCACGAGCAUUACAGGUAUCUUCAUUUGAAAAUAGUGUCCUUCGAACACUGGCCUUCUACAAUGCGGGAACCCUCCAAGACUUCAUCGAAAUACCGCUCCGACGUGCGGUGCUCUUUUCCCACGGGCGGUCCCUCGGUUGUCAGCUUGACAGCGUUCAUCUUCGCCCACUGCACUUUGAUGUGGCACCCCGGCUCAGAGAAAACCGGAACGCCCCGUAUUCCAGCCCAGAGAUCGAGGAGAAGUCUUCUGGAAUAUGUUACUGCUUAGCAUAGAACAAACCAGCUUACUAUUAUUACACGAAUAUGAAUACAAGGUCUCCGAUAUUACAAUAAAUAACAUCGGCACGACGACACUACGCCACCCUCAGUUGCUCUAUGCAAGCAGCAGAACAACUCGAAGCAGCGGGAAAAAACUUCUAGCAGCGGAACAACGACGACGGUGGUGAACUCCAAUCCGCAGGGACUCUGGCUGGAACGCUUAUCCUAGCUCGUGAACAUAGGAACAACACCAAACAAGCAAGCAAUCCAGGCACGACCUGCAAGCUGGCAUGACACGCCAGGUCAGUACAUUCAAUGUACUUGCAAGCUCACAAUAACCAGAAGCAUUCAAGACAAACAACAGCAUGGCAAUUACAAGUUAAUCAGGGAUUAUCAUGAGAUCAUCAGAAUAACAUGGCAUGAACAAUAUGGACAUGAUACAGGUAGAACAACAUGAGCAUGGCAUGAACAUAUGAAUCUGACGAUACUAGCAUGCAACAUGAUGACACUAUAUGCACUAUUUAUUCUGCUCGGGUUACCUCGUAACCAUCACAUGCAUCACUUACCAUCCUCGGACAUCAUACGAUCAUCUCAGGAUCAAAUCAAGCUUAGUAUAAACAAUAUCGUAGUAAUCAUUAAACGACCACAAGGAGCUUGAUCUUUACCCAUGAUUCUCGCACAACAUCACGAAUAUCCAACAACUCGGUAUCCUUGAUGCCACGGUGAUCAUUCCGGCGAUCGCAACCAUGACAAACACUUGGUCGCAAACUGUGAUCUUUCCGGCGAUCACAACCAAAUUAUCUCAUCAUCGAACCGGGGUUGUCAUGAAUCAAGUUAUUAUUAAUAUUGUUGACUCACGGUGUGACCGACACGAACUGGGCCCUUAUCCGCGGGCGCGGCUAUCGAUAGAUUUACUAUACACACCCUGGCCUCGCACUCCCAUUCGGGUGGACCAAAGAGUUCCGACAAAAGCGUCCUACUGCCAUGACGCUCCCCAGCCACUCCGACCAACUCCCCUUUGGGUUAAGUCCUGGGUGGCCCCGUGCCUACCAAAGGCACCAACAGCCUCCGUCGUGGCAAAAACGGUCCCAAACGGGGACACGAGGUCAAAACCAAACACGGGCACACAAGGCUUAUGUCGUCCUACCUGAUCAGGGUAGCGCCCCGCGCAUAACCUUCCCUCGCAGGAGGCACCGGUGAGAGGCAUGACAAUAGACCCAGUUAGGACCCCCCCCAUAGGGUAAGCGUGGUUGCAUUGGUCAGAUCAAUUUGGUGGCACCAUGACUCAGCCAACAGUGGUUCAAGUUCAAUUUAAUCCGGUUAAACUUGAAUGCAAUAUGCUGAGUCAUGAUAAAAUAACAUGAUGCAUUUACAAAGCAUGAGCAUGAUGUCAACAUAAUCACGGGAUGUAACAUAACUAUCCACCACGUCAACUAUGAAUAAUUUCCAACUGAACAUGGCAUAAUGACGAGCAUAAAUAUUACAAGUGCAACACUACUCAUAGCAUAACAUGACCACUAGCAUCAACCAUAAAUAUCAUGCAUGAACAUAACAACAAUGCAAGCAUUUAACCAAUGGAAUGCAAUGAAACAUAUAUAAUAACGAUACUCGGGACAGAUGGCAGUUAUGCACCAAAGACCAUCACCAACAUCACCAGGUACUACUAGCAAGCAUACGUAUAUGAAAGGAAUACUAGCAACUAGCAGGGCAUGAUAACCAGGUGCAUAACAACAUAGCAAGAAAGUAAGCACUAACCCAGAGGCAUUACCGAAACAAUGAUAACCAUAUUUUAAACAAGCAAACAUUUAUUAAAUAUUCAAAUUGAAAACCAUGGCUACUGCAUGACUAUCAUGCAAGUGGGUAUUGUGGCUUGCCUGGGGAUGAAGAAAACACCGGGAAGUAGCGCAAAAAGAUCGCGGAAAGAAUCGUCGGAAAACAUUCUCUCUCGGAGGGGCUGAUUAAGCGUAAGGGCAAAAUGGUAAUUUUCAGAAUGUCAAAACAUCAUGAAAAUGUUACCAGCAGAACAGGCUCGAUGAAACAAAGAAGUGGGCUUUGGAAUCACCUCAUUUGGAGUUGUGGUUAAAAAGAUAUGAAGGGUUGAAGAUCAGGGACUUUUCUGCAAAAAAUAUCAUCACCAACAAGUCCCUGAGUGGAUAAGGCAGAAGCACAAAGUUAGAAAUACACUUUCUGUUUACGAAAACACAUUCUGGGCUCAAAUAGAGAGGAAAUACGCUUUCAGUAAAAGAAAGCGUACUUUAGGCUGAAGCAGAAGGAAAAUGUGCUUUCCCGAAGUGAAAUCGUACUCGACCAAGUACGCCUCCACUUAAUCCAGUUGGCCGAGGCGGGACCAGGGCGUGUGACGCUGACGUGCGGGUCCCACGUGGGUGGGGCCCAUCACUUAUCCACGCUGGACCUGAGGUCAACGCGCUGCGGCUGUCAUGCGGGGCCCGCGAGGAGAAGAGGGCCCGCCUGACCUCUGUCUUCUUCUUCCUCGCCCUGCUCCCGCACGGGACAGAGGAGGCAGGGACAGGCGCGUCGCCGGCGAUGGCCCAGCCGGCUCAGGCUGUCUCCGGCCAAACGAGAGCCACCAGCGGGCUCUGCUUGGCCUGCCGCCUCCAUCCCCGCACAGAGGAGACGUCGGAGAGGAGCGGAGCGACAACGGCGAAGGAGAGAACAGAGGCGGCUCCGGCGGCCAUUUCCGUGGGGCGAGGUGCUCCGGCGACGGGGAUGCGAGGUGAGAGCUUGGGAGGAUUCGCCGGAGAGUGGAGGAGGCAUUGGUGCAGUCAGGGAGCGGAGGGGAGGCACGGACGACCGGAAUCAAGGACGAGGCCGAGAGUGGAUACGACGGCCAUGGGGGCACAGGGAACUCCUCGAGCUCGAAUGAGAGGCUGGGGGGAGCUGGGAGUGAGGCGAGGCUGCUGGUGUGCUCGAACGGCUCGGGGGAGGACUAUAUAUAGCCAGGCGAGAGGGAUGGGCUCGGGUGCCGCCGGGCACGUCCGGCCAAGGCUCAGCGGGCACGGGGUGGCACGGGAUCGCGACGAGAGGGGGUGCGGACGAGCUACAGCGAUGCUCAUGGCAGGAGGGGCCGAGGGCGCAGAGGAGAAGAGGCCACGGCGCCAUUAAAGCUCGGUCGGCCACAGUGCGCUCGUGGGCGCGCGACGACAAGCGCUGACGGAGGGGGAGAUGGCUCCAGGAGGACGGCGACGACACGGGCCAGCUGUUGGACAGGUUCACGAGCGUGAAGGCGACGAGAGGAAGAGGGGCCCGAGCAAGAAGACGCCCUAGACGCGGCCAACGCUAGCAGAGCGCGCGCAUUGCAUGCCAAAGCUCGUGAUCACCGCAGUCACUGGUGCACACAAUGGCACACGGCCGGCCAAACAAUGUCUGGGGGCUUGUCCUUCCUGGGGAGGUUGCAACUGCAGUGGUCGAUUGGUUAAAAGUGACAUGAUUAAAUGGCAGUUAACACCUGAAGUUUACUGCAGCAAACUUGAUCAUGUACUGCUGCUCAACAGGGAGAUGAUUGGGUCAAAAGGAGUUGUGUGGGAGGUUGAGGUAAAGAAGGACUUACACCCUGGUAACUAUGGAGGGGUUUGGAUCAAGAUUUAACAGAGUUGCUUUGCAACUACCAAAUAUGGUCCAGAAUCAAGAUUUGAAUUAUGCACUCUGAUGAAGCAUCAACUUGUGCUCAAAUUGGGCAAGGCAGAGUCAUUUGGUCCUAUGAAGAUGCUCAAAAGGUUUCAUACCAAUUGGAUAAACCAAAAUGGUACUUCCUUCACAAACAUUUCCACUGACCAGAAACUUGCAAAAAUUCUAGUGGAAAAUGGCUUGAUGAAACAUGCCCAAAAUGGGUGGAGGUAGGUUAUAUGGAUAAUAGAAGGCCUAGAAAAAUUGGCAGCCAUAAUGGAGCAAGAUAAAAUAUACUUGCUUCAAAUCUGAAAUUUUGGACUGAAUCAAAGAAUUAAAGGUGGGCUCAUAUGGAGAUCUACUUUGGUGGAGAGUGAUGAUAUGAUGAUAUGAGGGAUUAUGCAAAAUGGCAACUCAUUUGGAUAUGCCUAGCUUGUACUUCCUUCACAACCACUUCCCUCAGACAGGAACUUUGAAAAAUUGCUCAGGAAUAUUUACUAGGCAAAUGAGGUUGCACUUUGGUAUGUGGCAAUGAUAUGGACAUGAAAAGGUGUCCAAGGAGUUUGAGGUCAAAUGGGAAAAGAUAGAUGGCACUUGCUUUACAUUCUGCCAUUUAGGGCAGAAUAGGAAAUGAAUUAUUUGAGCAUGAUGAUAAAUAUGACAAAUGAAAUAUUUUGCCAUAUUUGAGAAAGAUAUGACCCAAACAAUUUAUGAGAAUUAUUUGAGAAUUUUAGGAGUGAUAGAAAUAUAGGUUGCUUCACAUCCUAGGGCAAAUUGGGUUAUUCCUUUAAUAGAAAAGGAAUAUUCUCAAUAAAAAGAAUAUUGGGAUUUGGGCUAGGAUGAAAAUGACAGGGUAUAGGGAAGGAUUUGGGAAUGACAAGCCUCUCUGGAAGCAAAAGGAGUUCAUCUUCUUCACUUUCCAGACCAGAAAGCCACGGGAAAAGAAAUCUCAAGCAAAAACCUCAGAAAACAAAAGAAAAAGAAAUGGCCAAAAAUCAGGCUAUCACAAACCUUACCCCCUUAAACAAAUCUCGUCCUCGAGAUUUGGUUGCUCAGGGAACAAAUAUGAAGAUACUGACUUAAGGAAACAGUUUCCAACUCAGGUAUCCUUUUUCUUAUUUUUGUUCUCACUAAAUUUUUAUCUGACUGGCCCUAGGAUGGUUUGCUUUAAUAUAUCCAUAUUCUGACUGAACUUACCUUGCUUGUUCAUGCUUGUACAGGCUCCAAUUUCUUUUUAGAUCUGCUAACUUAAGUGACUGUGAUGGAUUCUCAUGAGUGAAAUAUAUGUCGGUCUCACAAAUCCAAGAGUGAUUUCCGCUGGGUGUGUCAUCCGACUCUGACAAUCUUUCAUGAAGUGGUGAUCAGAUUUUUCUAGUGGACACCCAAGCUCUAACCCCUUGCAUUGGGUAUAUCCACUAGAUGCAGGUCCUUCGGGUUCCAAACAGCGAGUUGGGUCAUAACCGCUUUCCUGACAGCUUCUAGCUUAUCGCGGAAGUUUCUGAAUUAUCUUAACUGGUUCCACUGUCUUGAGUAUCGGAUCCGUACCAAAUAUUUGAUUGUCUCCUGCAUCACUGGUCUUGCUCCUUCAUUAUUGUUCAUAUUGCUCCUUCGUAUCACCAUAGAUACUGUUGGUGCAAUUUUUCGGCAAUCGUAGCUUAUCCUCAUUUUUCUGACAGGGUACCCUAUUAAAUUGCGGGUUCAACACACCGCAAGUUCUGACCGCAGGAAAAUGAUCAUCCGAACCUUUGGAAGAAACCGGCAAAUAAAUCAGUAGCCACUAGAACGUUCUUUACAACUCAGAUUUGGGACAUUACUGAAAUAACUCAACCAUGGCUCAGGACGGCUGAAAAGCAGCUUAGAACAUGAGACCGGGUUGAUAAGAAGAAGGUGGCAGCUCCCUAAAAUAGCCAAAAAGUAGCUAUAGGGCUACUGUCACAAAAAGAAACUCGACAGCUGUACGAGACGGCCGAACAGCAGCUAAGAACUCGCGACAGCCGUCAAAGAGAAAAAUAAAAAUUGGCAUCCACCCCGGAUAGCUAAAAACAACUAGAUCACAAGCGUGGUGCCGUCAUUGGAGAAAAAAAGGGACAAGGGCUCAUUAGGAUCAUUUUCCAGGUUCACAGGUACUUGCAUUGAGCUCAUUGAUGUCGUCAAUCCUCAUAAUCCUUUGUCACACUGUGGUGUAUACUGGCUUUCUUCUCUUAACCAUCCUCACGUGGUUGUCGGAUCCUCAUCUGAGUGACUUGUAAGAUCUUGGUGAUAUGCUCACCGCAUAUAUAUGAGAAUCUGAUUCUCGAGACAGACGUGUAUUCUGAAUGAUUCUUGCUUCUGACCAAAAUGUUGUGGAUCUGAUUCUUGGGAUUCACUGCCAUAUGCUGUCAAUUCUCAGUGUACUACCUUGUACCAAUGUCUUACUGAGGAGGAUUGGCUGGCUUGUGCUCGAAACUUUCAUCGGACAGCUUGCUAAAAAAGACUGGGUGUCGUGCUUCAGAAGCUUACCCCCUUAAGGACUUUGCUGGAGAAAGACUCAGUACCUUAUGCCGGAAGCUUUUGCGGUCGCUUACUGAAGAAGGCAUAGUACCUUGUACGGGAAAUCAUCCAUAUAUCGUACUAAGGAAGAUAGAUGAAUCUGGCCUUGGAAGCUUCUCAGGUAUCUUGUGAGGGAAGAGUGGGUUGCUUACACCAGAAGCUUCUUAUUGUGAUAUGCGGACCGAUUUCCACAUAUAUAACCAUCUUAGUAUUUUUGUUAUUGAUUUCUUGUAUGGAACGGGGUUUUGCAGGACUAUCCUCCUUUCUGAGUUCAUGCCAUAUUUUUGCUUGCUUCCAGGUACAUCGGGUUCCAAAAUCAUCCUCAAUGAAAAAUUAAACUUGUAUCUGAGCCAUACCUUUGAUAAUAUUUUGUCAACCUUGCACACAAUUUAUCUUCUUGCUGAUUUGAUCAUUUAUGCUAUGAGGAGUGCACGCUGAGGGAGACUUGACACUCAGUAACAUGACCAGAUAUCCCCCUAUCUAAAUGCAGUCAGCUGAGAAUUCCAUACUGUUGUGAGGAGUGCACAUUAAUGCAAACUUUAUACUGACAUUCCAUCCAAGAUUUCGUUUGUAUUCAGACGAGCUAUUUCCAAUUUCACUGCAGUUUGCUGACAAUUCCAUUCUGUUUAGCUGAGUUUCCAAAAAUAUGUAUUUCUUGCUGACUCUUUGGGUCCGGUGUCGGCUGACGAGCAACUUAAUAGGGGAAAAUUUUGUAACACCGAAGGCCCAAAGAAAGAAACAAAAGAAAUGACUAAAACAAAAGCACCCAAGCAUACUACUACUAUAAUUAAUCAAGCAAUCAUCACAUAUUACUGCUACUCACACCAUAAUAUGCAUGCACACCUAAGCACACCAAUUGCGCAGAAACUCUGGUAUUACGGUCUAAUAUGUUGUGGCGGUGUGCACGAAAAUUAUAUCCAUGUGUGGAAGGAGUUGGCAUAACCGAAGCUACACCAAGCACUGGCUGAACAGUGGCUGGAUCUGGAUGGAUACACAGGUGAGAGCGGACUUGACGAUCAAGUAGCAAGACACAAAAGUCACGACCACCUCAUCAUCAAGCGUACGAAGGGAAUCAUACCCGUCCAAAGAAUGAAAUGACAUGGCAAGAUAACAGUGGAAGACGGGAUUUAAUGGCAUUGCCCUUUUUUUAUAACCAAGAUCAGUAAGGGUUGCCAGAGGGACGAGAUGGAUGGCAUGAUUCGGGAUAGAAACAAGUCUAUCACCGAAAUAAUAUGGGUGGGUGGCGAAAAAAAUAUACGUGACACCUGAGCAUAACUCCUGCAAUUGGUGUCUGGAACUCUGGGUACCAGGGCAUCACUCUGCUGGGACAGAGAUGAGGCCAAACACCAAAGAGCAGACAUGCUUAGAAGGAGGGUGCAGGCGGUGGACCAAAAACGAUGCCACCUACACUCACAAGAUCAACUGUUAGUGACAAAAUAAAAAUUUAUAUGCAUGCUAUGCGACAAACAAAUGCAACAAUCAAGUGCAACAAACCAACUGGGUCUAUACUAUCGCUUUCUAAUGCUCGCGUGGGCUAGGGCAUCCUAUAGCCAGACCUGCUCUGAUACCAAGCUUGUGGCACCCUGGCUCAGAGAAAACCGCAACGCCCCGUAUUCUAGCCCAGAGAUCAAGGAGAAGUCUUCUGGAAUACAUCACUGCUUAGCAUAGAACACACCAGCUUACUAUUAUUACACGAAUAUGAAUACAAGGUCUCCGAUAUUACAAUGAAUAACAUCGGCACGGCGACAUUACGCCAUCCUCAGUUGCUCUAUGCAAGCAGCAGAACAACUCGAAGCAGCGGAAAAAAAACUUCUAGCAGCGGAACAACGACGACGGUGGUGAACUCCAAUCCGCAGGGACUCUGGCUGGAACGCUUAUCCUAGCUCGCGAACACAGGAACAACACCAAACAAGCAAGCAAUCUAGGCACGACCUGCAAGCUGGCAUGACACGCCAGGUCAGUACAUUGAAUGUACUUGCAAGCUCACAAUAACCAGAAGCAUUCAAGACAAACAACAGCAUGGCAAUUACAAGUUAAUCAGGGAUUAUCACGAGAUCAUCAGAAUAACAUGGCAUGAACAAUAUGGACAUGAUAUAGGUAGAACAACAUGAGCAUGGCAUGAACAUAUGAAUCUGAUGAUGGUAGCAUGCAACAUGAUGACACUAUAUGCACUAUUUAUUCUGCUCGGGUUACCUCGUAACCAUCACAUGCAUCACUUACCAUCCUCGGACAUCAUACGAUCAUCUCAGGAUCAAAUCAAGCUUGGUAUAAACAAUACCGUAGUAAUCAUUAAACGACCACAAGGAGCUUGAUCUUUACCCAUGAGACUCGCACAACAUCAUGAAUAUCCAACAAGUCGGUAUCCUCGAUACCACGAUGAUCAUUCCGGCGAUCACAACCAUGACCAACACUUGGUCACAAACGGUGAUCUUUCCGGCGAUCACAACCAACUUAUCUCAUCAUCGAACCGGGGUUGUUAUUAAUCAAGUUAUUAUUAAUACAGUUGACUCACGAUGUGACCGACAUGAACUGGGCACUUAUCCGCGGGCGCGGCUAUCAAUAGAUUUAAUAUACACACUAUGCAGAGGUAGCACACUAUACCCACACCAUGAAACCCUGGCCUCGCACUCCCAUUCGGGUGGACCAAAGCGUUCUAACAAAACCGUCCUACUGCCAUGAUGCUCCCCAGCCACUCCGACCAACUCCCCUUUGGGCUAAGUCCUGGGUGGCCCCGUGCCUACAAAAGGCACAAACAGCCACCGUCGUGGCAAAAACGGUCCCAAACAGGGACAUGAGCUCAAAACCAAACACGGGCACACAAGGCUUAUGCCGUCUUACCUGAUCAGGGUAGCGCCCUCGCAUAACCUUCCCUCGCGGGAGGCACCGGUGAGAGGCAUGACAAUAGACCCAGUUAGGACCCCCCCCCCAUAGGGUAAGCGUGGUUGCAUUGGUCAGAUCAAUUUGGUGGCACCAUGACUCAGCCAACAGUGGUUCAAGUUCAAUUUAAUCCGGUUAAACUUGAAUGCAAUAUGCUGAGUCAUGAUAAAAUAACAUGAUGCAUUUACAAAGCAUGAGCAUGAUGUCAACAUAAUCACGGGAUGUAACAUAACUAUCCACCACGUCAACUAUGAAUAAUUUCCAACUGAACAUGGCAUAAUGACGAGCAUAAAUAUUACAAGUGCAACACUACUCAUAGCAUAACAUGACCACUAGCAUCAACCAUAAAUAUCAUGCAUGAACAUAACAACAAUGCAAGCAUUUAACCAAUGGAAUGCAAUGAAACAUAUAUAAUAACGGUACUCGGGACAGAUGGCAGUUAUGCACCAAAGACCAUCACCAACAUCACCAGGUACUACUAGCAAGCAUACGUAUAUGAAAGGAAUACUAGCAACUAGCAGGGCAUGAUAACCAGGUGCAUAACAACAUAGCAAGAAAGUAAGCACUAACCCAGAGGCAUUACCGAAACAAUGAUAACCAUAUUUUAAACAAGCAAACAUUUAUUAAAUAUUCAAAUUGAAAACCAUGGCUACUGCAUGACUAUCAUGCAAGUGGGUAUUGUGGCUUGCCUGGGGAUGAAGAAAACACCGGGAAGUAGCGCAAAAAGAUCGCGGAAAGAAUCGUCGGAAAACAUUCUCUCUCGGAGGGGCUGAUUAAGCGUAAGGGCAAAAUGGUAAUUUUCAGAAUGUCAAAACAUCAUGAAAAUGUUACCAGCAGAACAGGCUCGAUGAAACAAAGAAGUGGGCUUUGGAAUCACCUCAUUUGGAGUUGUGGUUAAAAAGAUAUGAAGGGUUGAAGAUCAGGGACUUUUCUGCAAAAAAUAUCAUCACCAACAAGUCCCUGAGUGGAUAAGGCAGAAGCACAAAGUUAGAAAUACACUUUCUGUUUAUGAAAGCACAUUCUGGGCUGAAAUAGAGAGGAAAUACGCUUUCAGUAAAAGAAAGCGUACUUUAGGCUGAAGCAGAGGGAAAAUGUGCUUUCCCGAAGUGAAAUCGUACUCGACCAAGUACGCCUCCACUUAAUCCAGUUGGCCGAGGCGGGACCAGG